rnacentral:rRNA from 1 species
UACGAAGGGGGCUAGCGUUGCUCGGAAUCACUGGGCGUAAAGCGCACGUAGGCGGCUUGUUAAGUCAGGGGUGAAAUCCUGGAGCUCAACUCCAGAACUGCCUUUGAUACUGGCGAGCUUGAGUUCGGGAGAGGUGAGUGGAACUGCGAGUGUAGAGGUGAAAUUCGUAGAUAUUCGGAAGAACACCAGUGGCGAAGGCGACUUACUGGACACAUAUUGACGCUGAGGUGCGAAAGCGUGGGGAGCAAACAGGG